GGAUUCCUACGGGGCGCAGCAGUGGGGAAUAUUGGGCAAUGGGCGCAAGCCUGACCCAGCAACGCCGCGUGAAGGAAGAAGGCCCUCGGGUUGUAAACUUCUUUUAUUCGGGACGAAACAAAUGACGGUACCGAAUGAAUAAGCCACGGCUAACUACGUGCCAGCAGCCGCGGUAAUACGUAGGUGGCAAGCGUUAUCCGGAUUUACUGGGUGUAAAGGGCGUGUAAGCGGGAAAGCAAGUCAGACGUGAAAUUCCAGGGCUCAACUCUGGAACUGCGCUUGAAACUGUUCUUCUUGAGUGAUGG
rnacentral:rRNA from 1 species